UCUGUUCUCCACUCCAUUCAUCACAAUGGGGAAGAAGAAGGAGAAGAAAAUGAAGGCAAUUCCAAAUCCAAUUGAUUGUAUACCCAAAUAUUCACCCAAGAAGCUAUCCAAUCAAACCCCGCGCUGAUUUCUCUGUGCUUACAUGCACUCCCUCCUUAUUUAAUCCAGAUUCGUCGUCAUAUACACAUUCUAGAGUACUUAGAUUGUCCAAUUCCAAUGCAAAUAGUUUACAGGAGAGGGGAGUGGAAGAAAAACAAUUUUCAGCUGGUACACUGGUCCAACGUAACUAUUUCCAAAAGCAUAGAUCAGUGUGUUCAUCCGAAUUUUCUGAUGUUCUGGUUAAGGAAGUCAAGUUCCGCUGUCCAAGAUGAAAGUCUCAAUCAUGGGAUCUACAGGCAUGCUGAAAUUCUCUUGUAAUUCCUGGAAGUGUAAUAUGGGCUAGAACAGAUAAUCAAAUUCGGUGGCCUGUUGAGAUCAUGGAAGAAAGAUCCACAGUACCUGUUCCAGCCUCUGAUGGACAUGUUCUAGUGCAGUUUUAUGGAAAUUGUUCCAGGUAUUAUAACAUGUUUUUAUUAAAAAAAAUAAAAAAUUGUCUUGCCAGCUUAGCUGUAACUCUAUGGAAGUUUCUUGGAUUUCCUUAAACUCUUUUUUUGCUAUGCAAUAUUACAUUUUCAAUUUACAGUGCUUGGAUUAAUCCAAUGACAGAUGUUUCUUCGUUUGAGGAUGUAAGUGUAAUCUUGGCCCUCCACCAUGUUUUCUCCUAUAUAAAUUUGUUGUAUUUAGAAGUUCCUGUUUCUAUUUUCAUUUUGAUCACUUCUAAGUAGCAAUGAGAAUUGAGAAAGAAAAAAAGGGGUUGGGGCAAGCCGGGUGCUAGGGAGGUGGACCGAGAAUUAUUGGUUAUGAAUUUAACUGUUACCAACGGUGUCACGACUUCUUGUGGAUUAUUUCAGUGAACAUAUUGGUUGUAAAGUGAAUCAGGAGGGUGUUUUCAAUGUUCUAUUUGUCUAAGCAGGUUGCAAUUUUCAACAACAAUAAAGGAGAUAGUAAUUAAAUUAUAUAUUAUCAACUUCUCAUUUUUAUGCACGAAUUUUAUUUCAGUCUUUUGAAGCAAGGAGCACCCACUCUUCUAAAGAUUUUCACAAGGCUCUAAAACAUGCCUUACGGAGGAAGGAACAACUUAGUUCUUGCAUUAGAUCGAGUUCUGAUAGGCGUUCCCACUGCAAUCGGCAAAAUCAUUCAUCUGGAAUGUUCUAUCUUAUUUCAUCACAGAAUCAUGUUUUAGACAGAAAGGCACAUAUAACAGGAUAGGAAACUAAUGUAUUACCGAAUCUUACGAUGGCUUGAUCAUAUUCAAUAAAUAAAAGAACUUCAUGCACCUCAAGCGCUACAGUGGAUGAUUUUCUAUUGAGAGGAAGGGGCAAAAGGGAACGUAAACGCAAGGUUCAUUUUGAUGUGAGUUGCUACGUCAAGACUGUAGAAAAACUAAGAGA